GACGGGGGCCCGCACAAGCGGUGGAGCAUGUGGUUAAUUCGACGCAACGCGAAGAACCUUACCAGGGCUUGACAUCCCCUGACCGCGUAUGAAGACGUUUUCACCCUCGGGUGACAGGGAGACAGGUGGUGCAUGGUUGUCGUCAGCUCGUGUCGUGAGAUGUUGGGUUAAGUCCCGCAACGAGCGCAACCCCUACGUUUAGUUGCUAACGCGUGAAGGCGAGCACUCUAGACGAACUGCCGUUGACAAAACGGAGGAAGGUGGGGAUGACGUCAAAUCAUCAUGCCCCUUAUGUUCUGGGCUACACACGUGCUACAAUGGGCGGUACAAAGGGUCGCGAACCCGCGAGGGGGAGCCAAUCCCAAAAAGCCGCUCUCAGUUCGGAUUGCAGGCUGCAAUUCGCCUGCAUGAAGUCGGAAUCGCUAGUAAUCGCAGGUCAGCAUACUGCGGUGAAUACGUUCCCGGGCCUU
rnacentral:rRNA from 1 species